GACGAACUGUCCUAACGUUGUUCGGAAUCACUGGGCUUAAAGGGCGCGUAGGCGGUCUGACAAGUCAGGGGUGAAAUCCUGCAGCUUAACUGUAGAAGUGCCUUUGAUACUGUCAGUCUUGAGGGAAAUAGGGGUGUGCGGAACUUCCAGUGGAGCGGUGAAAUGCGUUGAUAUUGGAAGGAACGCCGGAGGCGAAAGCGGCGCACUGGAUUUCUUCUGACGCUGAGGCGCGAAAGCUAGGGGAGCAAACAGG
rnacentral:rRNA from 1 species